UGGCGCCGGUCGUGACGGUUUUCUUUUUAUUGAUGCUCCGAAUAAACAUAAGCCUGUUUCUCGAACAAGAACCUCUCUAUGCAUUCGGAACUAAGGGUGCGGCUGUGCUUCAGAUACCAUGCAUGUUUAAACACGUAGACGUCAUUGUGUAUCGGUUAAAUCCGGACAAGUCUCGGGUUGUGAGCAAUUACAUCGGCAGAGAUUCUAGCACUGCAUAUUUCCUACUUAAUAUUUCAGAAAAUCAAGAGUAUUUCUCUGAAUGCAAGAAGAAUGGGCUGCUUAUGGAGAAGAGACGCUUUUACGUGAUAGUUUGUGCUCAGAUGGAGGAAAAAGAGAACAUGUAUUAUCAUCAUGGUGAAACUGCGCACAUCUCCUGUCAGAAGUUAAAUUCCAGUCGUGGAGAAACUCUUCAGGUGUUUCAGAAUUUAAAAACAGAUGAUCUCAGAUCGGCAAGUGAAAUGAUUCUGGAUACCAGCGUAUCUCUGGAGAUCAUUCCAGAUGCACUUAGGAGCAGAAUGAAAGUCCUGAACGCAGGCUCUUUAAUUCAUUUAUCAAAAACUUCAAGUAUGGACUAUGGUUUUUUCAGUUGUUUGGUUUGGAGUGACAAUCAAUGCCAAAACUACAAGAAGAUUGAACUAUACAUUGACAGUCAGGACAUUUUCCUCGUCUCAGGAGAGAGUUACGCUUUGCCCUGUGGAGUUAAAGGUUCCCCAUCAGAGGACAUAUAUUGGCUAACUCCCAGUCGAUCAACAGAAGAAUUUCAUGAAAUGUUGAAUGCGACAAAGACUAGUAACUACUCUUUGGUCAUUCCUCACCUCUUGCCGUACCACACUGGACAAUACAGCUGUUUUUCACAAUUAGAGAAAUUUAAUCAACUCAACAUUUUUGUUUGUUCCAUUCUCGAUCCCAUCAAUAUCACAUUUGCUUUGGGUGACAGUGCCGAUUUGAUGUGUGUUUUCAAUCUGUCACACUUUCCCAGAGUACAGUGGUACAGGGAGUACAAUCAAAGCUCAGAAUAUCUGCUAGUCGACAGAAAAGGUCAUUUUGUGAAAGAGGACAUGAAGAAGCGGCUGAAUGCAUCCGACCCCAAUCACAUUACCAUAUCGGAGCUUUCGAUCCAGGACGGCGGCUCAUAUCGGUGCAGGGUUUGGGAGUUAAAUGACAUUCCCAGAGGCUGGUGUUUCAGUCGCAGAGUUCAUUUAACAAACAUGACCCCUCAGCUGGACACUUUAUAUUUUGUGUAUGCUUCUCUGAUGGGCCUAAUGUUGCUGGGGAUGAUCUCUGCAGUGGUUUUUGUCACGAUAGUAAGCAGGAACAGACACAAAAGAGAGUUUUGUGAUGACAACUAUGACUAGAAUAUAGACAUAUAGACAUGAAUGGGGCCCAAAACAAGUUCAAAGUGUUGUUGUUGUUUUAAAAAAGUUAAAAGAAAUACAUUUAUGACUCACUUAUAUUUUAUACUAUUUUAUUUGGUGAGUCAACGGACCCCGAUGUAGUUUCUUGGAUGGACAGAAUUAAUAAAAUGUAUCAUAAAUAAAUGAGCAUAUAUACAGUAUGUUAAUUAGUUAAAAAAUGUAAUGUUUCUGUGACAUAAGGUUUUACUUUUUUAUACUGCAAAGAAAAAAAGCACUGGUUUGAAAUACAAACAUUAAAAAAAAAAAAAAUGUAAAGGGAAAAUAUUCACAUGUAAACAAAGGACACCUCAAUCAGAAAGAAAUAUAGGAUCAUAGUCAUUAAAUUUGCUGUUCUUAUUCUUAUUAUUAUUCUGAGUUUAUACAAUCUCAGCAAGAAAGACUU
rnacentral:lncRNA from 1 species